CGACGCAGGGAGUGAUGCCGGCUUUAUAAAUCCAAAUCGGACUUGAAAAGGUUCGGAAGCCGUCAUCGUUCGCUGACGUAGGAGAUUCGGGAGGAUGCUGACAAAAGUUGAUGCCUGCGCUCCCCCUCGUUGACCUGGAGGACCACACGGGUGUCAGACCACCGCGGUGAUAAUGUCAGACCACCAGAGAUGCUGAAGAGAGGCAAGAAAACAAAAUGAAAAAAAGAAAAGAGGUCAUGAGAAGAGCAGAGAGGUGGAGGAGAGAGAAGAGAUGUGGUUUGAUUGGCGAGCGUAACUGAAAGUCAGCCAUGCGGGGAGAGGCUCACCAGUGAGGAUCUGAAAUGUAGUUACUGUACAGUCAGAGGGACAGACCCGACGCUUCAUGUUGUACUCCACUGAACAAUGUGGUUAACCAGUCUGAUGUAAUACAGUAGCUCGAGUUGACACAGUGACGGAGAUAGCAUUUUCAAAUAAACACAGCGUAUGUGUGUU